rnacentral:rRNA from 1 species
GACGAACGCUGGCGGCGUGCUUAACACAUGCAAGUCGAACGGAAAGGCCCUGCUUUUGUGGGGUGCUCGAGUGGCGAACGGGUGAGUAACACGUGAGUAACCUGCCCUUGACUUUGGGAUAACUUCAGGAAACUGGGGCUAAUACCGGAUAGGAGCUCCUGCUGCAUGGUGGGGGUUGGAAAGUUUCGGCGGUUGGGGAUGGACUCGCGGCUUAUCAGCUUGUUGGUGGGGUAGUGGCUUACCAAGGCUUUGACGGGUAGCCGGCCUGAGAGGGUGACCGGCCACAUUGGGACGGAGAUACGGCCCAGCCUCCUACGGGAGGCAGCAGUGGGGAAUAUUGCACAAUGGGCGGAAGCCGGAUGCAGCAACGCCGCGGGCGGGAUGACGGCCUUCGGGUUGUAAACCGCUUUCGCCUGUGACGAAGCGUGAGUGACGGUAAUGGGUAAAGAAGCACCGGCUAACUACGUG